GGAGAUGAUGGGAGGAGGGGUGACGAUGAUGGAUCGGCAGAGAAAAGGAUUCAGGAAUACUUUCCCAUGGCUUUUCCGCUGGUACAGAUCAUUCCCUUCCCUUUGUCUUUGAUGCUCUGUACUUUCUGCUGAUUUGGAUUUCUAUUUGCCACAUGGAUCAGGGAGUCUAACAGCUCAACGUUUGUCGGUGCCCUUGUGCUCAAAAUUCCUAUACAUGUUGAUCCAUGUAUGGCUUCCUAGAAUCAAACUUUGGUUUUUUUUAAGGAGAACACUUUGGUCAUUUUUUAACGUUUUCUACUGUACAGUCUUUGCUUUUAAAGUGAUGUUGAUCCGAUAUAUGUUGAGAAUAUCACAUGGGUAUUAGUUAUCUGACUG
rnacentral:lncRNA from 1 species